GGAAAGAUACCGGAAGUGUUUCUGUGGCCAUCUUGAACAGAUCGCAAGCUAAAUCAUCCAUCUUAGGAGGUACAGACUACAGGGGGCCGUGGCUUCCUCUUAACCGCGGCAGCUGCUGAUAAAUACUGUACUAUUAACAGUGAGGCCCGGCGUAAUUUCCUUAUUAGAGGGCUUCUUUACGUCUCUUCAUCCCAAACUGGGAAAUGAGUCUCACCCUGAUGUCCAGGCUGGAGUGCAAUCACUCAGUCUCGGCUCACUGCAACCUCCACCUCCUGGGUUCAGAUGCUGUUGACUGGGGCAAAGAAUAAUGGGAGAAAAACAGCUGGGUCCUAAAUAACAGAGGGAAACCAACUUUCAAUAAAGUAUUCAACAACUAAUCCACAAAGCAGAUAACUGAACUGCCACAAGGUAAAUACUCAAUUAGGAUUAAUUAUGGUUAUUCUUCUUUUUUGAGAUGGAGUCUCACUCUGUCGCCCAGGCUGGAGUACAGUGGCGCAAUCUCGGCUCACUACAAACUCCGUCUCCCGGGUUCAAGCCAUUCUCCUGCCUCAGCCUCCCAAGCAGCUGGGACUACAGACGCCCCCCACCAUGCCCGGCUAUUUUUUUUUUAUUUUUUGUAGAGACGGGGUUUCACCGUGUUAGCCAGGAUGGUCUCGAUCUCCUAACCUCGUGAUCUGCCCGCCUCGGCCUCCCAAAGUGCUGGGAUUACAGGCGUGAGACACCGCGUCUGGCUAAUUAUGGUUAUUCUUAUCAUCAUCAUUUGAAAGAACAGUUGUAAAUAAAGAGAGUAAAUAAAUUAUCCUCCUUGUUCCUAAAAAGACGUUUUGUUAUAAAAGUCUUCUUUAUCAAUAAGAUGAAGUAAUGGAGGCAGGAGACAAGUGACAAUAAAAAACAGUCAUAAAAAAAGAACUGCAGAAACUAAGGUCUUAACCCAAAUUAGCAAAAGCAAAAUUGAAGCUCAAUUUUCAUUUUGGAAUAGCUCUACAAUUCCAUAAAUCUGCAAUUAAAGGUUUCUAGAUACCAAAGAGACACAAUGAAAGAGACAAAACAACAAAAAACACAUAAACACAGAUACAGAACUAGAGACUGCGACAGGUGGAGCACAUGACACAAUAGACUGACAGAGAAUAAAUCAAAAGAACAGAGAGGUGGACCAGAAAGAAAACAAGAAUUCAUGCUCUGUUUCACAGUAAUUUACGACUUCCCAAGCAGCCAGUUCUCCCAUCUCCCACUCUCCUUCCUUCCAGCUCCAUACAACUUACAUUAAAAGAUGCCAGGGCCUCAGAGACACUCUUCUCGAUGAACUCAUCAGUGAUUCUUCGGGAAGGAUGUUCAUUAAACACAGAAUUCAUUAGCGCAAUCUUUGCAGCACUCCUCCGGGCCUCAGCUUUUGUGGGGCAAAACUAGGCAGGGGAGAAAGAGUGAGAAUAUGUGUAUUUGUGCAUAUGAGAGAGAGGAAGGAACAGUGGGAGGGAAACACUUCAGAUAGAAAACACUUGGACGCUCUUUGGAUAAAUCAGUUGUGUUCAACACACUUUCCAAGGUUUUUAUGGUAAAGUGGUUGGGAUGUUUGGAAACAUAAUUUUGAUUCAACAUCCUGAAGUCAUUAAGGAACUGGGAGAGGGCUGUAGCUCAUACCAAACUGAAUGCAGAACGAGGAAGGCUGCUUAAGUCAGCAUAUAAUCACUGGUCAUGAAAAAUACCCGUUUAAACUGUCGACAGAAUUAGUUACUCAAAAGUCAGAUUCUGGCCGGCUUAAUAGAAAUCUGUAUCUUGUUCUGCGGACAGGUAAGGUUUUUUGGAUUCCUCUAGAUAACCCAAGAUUAGAACCAAAGCUGUGUCUAGGCUGCUUCUACAGAGGCCACUGGUCUCUAUCAGAAGCACCCAUCUUGGAAUCUCGGACUUCAUUUUUAGCUGUGAGCAGGCAUUUUCUCAAAUAACGUAGUGAGCCAAAGGAGCUAUCCCUGAGAAGGGUUUAAGUCUG
rnacentral:lncRNA from 1 species